GGAGUGGACUCUACUCUGUAUAGGCAAGGACUUGGCUUUUUUAAAGAAAAUAAAAGCCUUCACAGAAGAGAAUUGCCUGUCAAGGGCCGGGAAGAGGAGAACUGCAGAUCUUCAGUGUCCCGGGCUGCCUAAGGACUCUGCUCUUUCACAGCCACUUCUCCCGUGCAAGCAGCCCCUUUUCCCAGGUUCCUGGAGUACCCAACACACAGCUUCUGCUCUGCAAAGGCAUUGUCUGCCAGGCUUAGAAGAAGAAAAAGGAAAAGAAAAACAAACAAAGACAAAGAAAAAAACCUUCCGCUGUUGAAUUAAAACAGCCAACUCCAGCCCCCAAGCAAGUUUCAGUCUCUAUUAAGCCAACAAAAGGCCCUAAAUGCCAGGCCAGGGACACAAAGAGCGAGGAGAAAGGGGGAGCCACGGGAGGAGGAGAGCGUGAGGAAGAGAAGGAAACUCAAUUAACUGGUAGGUUUCUAGAGUUAUCUCUGGUGGGUCUGCCCUCACCCCAAG
rnacentral:lncRNA from 1 species